rnacentral:rRNA from 1 species
AUUGAACGCUGGCGGCAGGCUUAACACAUGCAAGUCGAGCGAGCGGCGGACGGGUGAGUAAUGUCUGGUAAACUGCCUGAUGGAGGGGGAUAACUACUGGAAACGGUAGCUAAUACCGCAUACCCUCAGUUUUGCCCAUAGGGGAUUAGCUAGUAGGGGGGGUAAUGGCUAACAUAGGCGACGAUCCCUAGCUGGUCUGAGAGGAUGACCAGCAAAACUGGAACUGAGACACGGUCCAGACUCCUACGGGAGGCAGCAGUGGGGAAUAUUGCAAAAUGGGCGAAAGCCUGAUGCAGCCAUGCCGCGUGUGUGAAGAAGGCCUUCGGGUUGUAAAGCACUUUCAGCGGGGAGGCGUUACUCGCAGAAGAAGCACCGGCUAACUCCGUGCCAGCAGCCGCGGUAAUUC